UACGUAGGGGGCAAGCGUUGUCCGGAAUCAUUGGGCGUAAAGCGCGCGUAGGCGGCCCGGUAAGUCCGCUGUAAAAGUCCAGGGCUCAACCCUGGAAAGCCGGUGGAUACUGUCGGGCUAGAGUCCGGAAGAGGCGAGUGGAAUUCCUGGUGUAGCGGUGAAAUGCGCAGAUAUCAGGAGGAACACCUAUUGCGAAGGCAGCUCGCUGGGACGUAACUGACGCUGAGACGCGAAGCGUGGGAGCAAACAGG
rnacentral:rRNA from 1 species